GAUGAACGCUGGCGGCGUGCCUAAUACAUGCAAGUCGAGCGAACGGACGAGAAUCUUGCUUCUCUGAUGUUAGCGGCGGACGGGUGAGUAACACGUGGAUAACCUACCUAUAAGACUGGGAUCACUUCGGGAAACCGGAGCUAAUACCGUAUAAUAUUUUGAACCGCAUGGUUCAAAAGUGAAAGACGGUCUUGCUGUCACUUAUCGAUGGAUCCGCGCUGCAUUAGCUAGUUGGUAAGGUAACGGCUUACCAAGGCAACGAUGCAUAGCCGACCUGAGAGGGUGAUCGGCCACACUGGAACUGAGACACGGUCCAGACUCCUACGGGAGGCAGCAGUAGGGAAUCGUACGCAAUGGGCGAAAGCCUGACGGAGCAACGCCGCGUGAGUGAUGAAGGUCUUCGGAUCGUAAAACUCUGUUAUUAGGGAAGAACAGAUGUGUAAGUAACUGUGCACAUAGUGACGGUACCUAAUCAGAAAGCCACGGCUAACUACGUG
rnacentral:rRNA from 1 species